rnacentral:rRNA from 1 species
UACAGAGGUCUCGAGCGUUGUUCGGAUUCAUUGGGCGUAAAGGGUGCGUAGGCGGCGUGGUAAGUCUGGUGUGAAAUCCUGGAGCUUAACUCCAGAAAUGCACUGGAUACUGCCAUGCUAGAGGACUGGAGAGGAGAUUGGAAUUCACGGUGUAGCAGUGAAAUGCGUAGAUAUCGUGAGGAAGACCAGUGGCGAAAGCGAAUCUCUGGACAGUUCCUGACGCUGAUGCACGAAGGCUAGGGGAGCAAGCGGG